GCCAAGACAGAGCUAAAGGAGAGGAGCCGUGCUUAGAGGACUUACCACUGGGAGACAUAAACAGCUUUCUAACUCUCUGAAUUGGCCUACAACAAGUCCAGAUAUCAGUAUGAAGAUACCAGGGGCAACUGCGCCCCCACCAGGGCAGGAAGAUGACUGGGCGCCCCAGGGUCAAG